UACGUAGGGCGCAAGCGUUUGUCCGGAAUUAUUUGGGCGUAAAGAGCUCGUAGGCGGCUUGUCGCGUCGGAUGUGAAAAGCCCGGGGGCUUAACUCCGGGUCUGCAUUCGAUACGGGCAGGCUAGAGUGUGGUAGGGGGAGAUGGAAUUCCUGGUGUAGCGGUGAAAAUGCGCAGAUAUCAGGAGGAACACCGGUGGCGAAAGGCGGAUCUCUGGGGCCAUUACUGACGUGAGGAGCGAAAAGCGUGGGGGGAGCGAAACAGG
rnacentral:rRNA from 1 species